rnacentral:rRNA from 1 species
AUACGUAGGGAGCGAGCGUUGUCCGGAAUUACUGGGUGUAAAGGGAGCGUAGGCGGGAUCGCAAGUCAGAUGUGAAAUACAUGGGCUUAACCCAUGAGCUGCAUUUGAAACUGCGGUUCUUGAGUGAAGUAGAGGUAAGCGGAAUUCCUGGUGUAGCGGUGAAAUGCGUAGAUAUCAGGAGGAACACCGGUGGCGAAGGCGGCUUACUGGGCUUUUACUGACGCUGAGGCUCGAAAGCGUGGGGAGUAAACAGGAUUAGAUACCCUGGUAGUCCACGCUGUAAACGAUGAUUACUAGGUGUGGGGGGACUGACCCCUUCCGUGCCGCAGUUAACACAAUAAGUAAUCCACCUGGGGAGUACGGCCGCAAGGUUGAAACUCAAAUGAAUUGGCGGGG